rnacentral:lncRNA from 1 species
AGUUAAGGAAGAUUAUUGGAAUGCUCAAGAUGAAAUGAGGGCUUAUCUCUGAAGAACUAGGGUUUCCUGCACUUAGAGGAAGUUUGCUCUGAGUGGUGCAUUCUUGCCCUUGUCAUUCUUCUUCCCUGACGUGGUUCUCCCUCUUUACAGCAUAUUGAUGUUGUAUUUAAAGCAGAGAUCCUUCUAGGCUCUAGCUGGAGAAUCUUUUAGUUUCUUUUAUAGGCUU